AUGACAUACUAUGUACAUACAUACAUGCCUACCCAUGCCAACCAACUACAUACACGUUACGUAACCAUACUCUACAAUGAAAUGAAAAAGAGAGAAACACUGUUUUUUUUAAAGUACUUCCAAGCUAAAAGAGCUAUCACUAUUACAAGUACAGUAAAGUAUACAAGCAAAAAAAACAUUAAUGCUAUUGAAAGUAUUCCCCGUUUUGUCAAAAAUACUAGUUAUAUAUCUCCUUAUUCUGUAUAUGAUGAAAAAAAUGAAAGUACAAAUAGAAAUAAAAAAUAUACUUUUGAAAUAUUAAUGAAAACAAUAAAAAAUAGAUCUGAUGAAAAUAAUAUUAUAAAAAUAAAAGAGUGCCAAAAUAAAAUUUUAUUAAAUUUAAAUAACUUUAAUAUAAACGAAGUCAUAUCAACAUUAAUCUUUUCUUUUCAAUAUAAUUUACUAAAUUCAAAAUUAUUAUUAACAAUAUCUGACUAUCUUUUUGAACAUUCUUGUUUUUUAAAUAGUAAACAUUUAUAUAUUUUAAUCCUAAUAACAAAACAAAUACAAUUAGAUAAUACCAAUAUUUUAUUAAAUAAUAAAAAAAAAAUUAAUACGUAUAAUUCACAAAAAAAUCAUUAUUUGCAACAUGUUAAUGAAAAUGUAAACUGGCAAAAAAAACUUUUAAAAGAUAUACAAACAAAUUUAUUAUCUGAUCAAAAUGAGAAUGUAACUUUUUUGAGUAAACAAAGUAUCACUGAUGAUGCAUAUGCCGAUAAUCUUCCUAACAAUGGUUUAGUUGACGAUAACCCACCUAACGAUGGUUUAACUGGAAACACACCUAACCAUGAUCAACGUUGUACUACAUUAAACCAAGAUACCUAUACCACUCCAACCGAAUUAUUACAAAAAAAUGCAAAAAUAAACGACAAAAAUAACUUAACUGAAAUUAAAAAUAUACUAAAUAAUCAAACUUGUGAAAUAACAAAUUUGUUAUAUAUUAACAAAACAGAUAAUCUAAUAAACGAUUCCCAAAAAACAUAUAUAAAAAUAAAAAACAUUUUAUAUAAUAAUUACAAUAAUAUUUAUCGUAAUUUACAAAACAAUAUAUACACAAAUUUAUCAUUGUUAAAUUAUUUACACGAAGAAAAUAUUAUUACAAAAAAGGACUUUUUAAAAAUUAUAUAUAAUAUAAAUAUACAAUUCGAUCAACUUUUUUUUUUUAAUAAUAACAUUAAUAACUCAUAUAUGUUACAAAACAAAACUUAUUCUGAUACUAUAAUUAAUUCUUAUAUUCAAGAACAAACAAAACAUAUAUCUAUUUACGAUUUAUAUAUUCUUUUACAUUUUAAUUUAUUAAAAAAUAUAUUUAAACCAAAUGAAUAUAUUAAUGAAAACUUUAUUUUAUGUAAACUUGUAAAUGAUUCAUCAAUAGAAGAAGAAACGUAUAAAUAUAAGCAAAUGUAUAUAGACACGUUUACCAAUUUUUUUUACAAUAUAAGCCGUAUUAACCAUACCAUAAAUUAUAUACUACUUUUUUAUAUAAAUAUUAUUUUUUAUGAAGUUUUCAAGACUUUAAUUGGUGGUGAUAUAACAGACGUCACCACUGCUACUGACAUUACUGCUAUUGACACUACUGUUAAUGGUACUACAAUUAACAAUAGUAGCUAUAGUAACUAUAGUAACUAUAGAAGUAAUAAUAAUGGUAGUAACAAAAGAUAUCAUCAAAAUGUUAAAAUACAUUAUAAUUUACUUAAAUAUAUUAAAUGUAGCUUGAUUUUAAAAGAAAAAAACAAAUGUCAUAACAGUAAUUAUACCCUUUUAAGUAUAUUCGAUUAUUUAAAAACAAAUAAAAACAUAUUAAAUUAUCAGAUAAACAUAUUUGAAAAUAAUUUAACAAAUAUAAACAAAAUACAUAAUUCUUAUCAACAAUUUUUAAAUUCGUUAAAUGAUUAUAGUUUAUAUGACUUUAUUCAGAACGGUCUGUAUUUAUCUCAUAUAGAAAAUGCGGCCAACACAUAUACUGUAACUGACAAAUCUGAUACAGUCACUAAUGCAGCUAAUACAACCGAUGCAACCGAUACAACCGAUACAACCGAUACAANNNNNNNNNNCAACCGAUACAACCGAUACAACCGAUACAAACCAAAACAAUAA
rnacentral:lncRNA from 1 species